CUGGAAGGGAUGAGUGAGAUCGCCUCAGGGGUGAUGUAACUCAGGGUGCCUGCGCUGAUGCUGCUGAUCUGUGUGCUGUUCAGGGAAGCUGCAGGACAAAAUUCGACAGUGGAGAAAAAUGACAGGGUUCCUGAAAUUCAUUCCACCGCCCCAUAGGUCAUAGACCAGCAGUAUUUACUUGCAAAUUUAAUGAAAGCAUUUGAUCUCAGAUGUAUAUGGUGUGCACUGUCAAAGAAGAUAAUCUGUUCAUGUGAAUUUAAGGUACAUCCAUCCAUAAUCGGAAAGACAGUCCUGCAAAGGAUUGCUAGGACAGGGAGCCCAGAGAAAACCCAUUCAAACCCAGGUAGAACAUGCAAACUCCACACAGGAGGGCCCAGGGACCUAAGAACUGUGCUGCACCCAUUCGAGGUAAAAUCAAAGUCCACAGGCUGGGGUCUCCGUAGGCCUCCACAGCCUUUUCCUGCAGGGCCAGCAGCACCUCCGCGGGGCACUCGAGCUGGCCGAUUUCACGAGCCGCGGCACUGCGAGAGCAGCAGACACACGGGCGGUCAGUCCCUGCAGCCGCUGCCUCACUCCUCCAGCUUGUGCCUGGCCUGAUCUCCAGCUGUGUGCAGCAACCCACUUAACGCAUGAUCAGUGUUAAUUAAGAAGGCAGCGUCCGGGCAGCACAUGUAGGGCUACAGGUAUAGAAAUCUGUGCGCCAGACCAAAAGACUCACGUUGUUCAGCCAGUCCCUGUACUGCCCGAUGGAGGACAGGGUGUCGAU